UACGAAGGGGGCUAGCGUUGCUCGGAAUCACUGGGCGUAAAGGGUGCGUAGGCGGGUUUUUAAGUCAGAGGUGAAAUCCUGGAGCUCAACUCCAGAACUGCCUUUGAUACUGAGGAUCUUGAGUUCGGGAGGGGUGAGUGGAACUGCGAGUGUAGAGGUGAAAUUCGUAGAUAUUCGCAAGAACACCAGUGGCGAAGGCGGCUCACUGGCCCGAUACUGACGCUGAGGCACGAAAGCGUGGGGAGCAAACAGG
rnacentral:rRNA from 1 species